rnacentral:ncRNA from 2 species
GCAUUGCGAUGGUCCCUGCGGAUG